ensembl:lncRNA
UCCGAUAUUACUAAACAAAGACGUCAGGCUUGCAUUGCAGCGGUGAGACGAGCGGAUCGAGUUCUGUGCAAUCCCCAGCUUUUUGUUGGUUUGGUCUCCGCAUCUUCUUUCCGCGCAUACACAGCAAACCAGUUUAAGAAUUAUAAAUCCCUGGAGGCCCACAUCCAAUUCACGAACGGCUGGGUGCAAGAUUUGUCCAUCUUUAUGCCUCCACGCUGCGACAACUGUACGUUGUCGUUAAGACAAAGGCGCUUGCUCUCUUUCCCAGUGGCGCAGUUGGUAAUGACACAGGUCUGCAAUCCAAAGGUCGUGGGUUCAAUUACACCUUGGGCAGCAUGUUUUUU